rnacentral:snRNA from 1 species
AAAUGGUACAGCUCUUUUAGAAUUUGUCUAGCAGCUUUUCCAGCUUUUACUGGAACCCC